AUACGUAGGUAGCAAGCGUUGUCCGGAAUUAUUGGGCGUAAAGCGCAUGUAGGCGGUUUGGUAAGUCGGUCGUGAAAAUCCGGUGCUUAACGACGUAUGGAGAUCGAAACUGCUGAAAUUUAGUGCAGGAGAGGAAAGGGGAACUCCCAGUGUUGCGGGGAAAUGCGUAGAACUUGGGAAGAACACCGGUGGCGAAGGCGCCUUUCUGGACUGUGUCUGACGCUCAGAUGCGAAAGCCAGGGUAGCGAACGGGAUUAGAUACCCCGGUAGUCCUGGCCGUAAACGAUGGGUGCUAGGUGUGGGAGGUAUCGACUCCUUCCGUGCCGGAGUUAACGCAAUAAGUACCCCGCCUGGGGAGUACGGCCGCAAGGCUUAAACUCAAAGGAAUCGACGGGG
rnacentral:rRNA from 1 species